UACGUAGGGGGCAAGCGUUGUCCGGAAUCAUUGGGCGUAAAGCGCGCGUAGGCGGCCCGGUCAGUCCGUUGUGAAAGUCAAAGGCUCAACCUUUGAAUGCCGACGGAUACUGCCGGGCUAGAGUCCGGAAGAGGCGAGUGGAAUUCCUGGUGUAGCGGUGGAAUGCGCAGAUAUCAGGAGGAACACCUAUAGCGAAGGCAGCUCGCUGGGACGGUACUGACGCUGAGGCGCGAAAGCGUGGGGAGCGAACAGGAUUAGAUACCCUGGUAGUCCACGCCGUAAACGAUGGGAACUAGGUGUGGGAGGUGUCGACUCCUCCCGUGCCGACGCUAACGCAUUAAGUUCCCCGCCUGGGGAGUACGGCCGCAAGGCUAAA
rnacentral:rRNA from 1 species